UCCCUGAUAGCUCAGUUGGUAAAGAAUCUGCCUGAAAUGUAGGAGACCCUGGUUUGAUUCCUGGGUGGGGAA
rfam:TPA: Bos taurus chromosome 9, whole genome shotgun sequence.